rnacentral:tRNA from 1 species
CAGGCCAUAGGAUAGUGGUAGUCCGCGGGCAUGGGGUGCCUGUAGCGGUGGUUCGAUUCCACCUGGCCUGA